CAACAAAUUUUAAACAUAAUUGAGGGGAUGAUAAAGGCAAAAUUGCGCCAUUGCCAAAUGUCCGUUGAAAGUUAUAACAAGCAAAAUAAGUCAUGUACCAACAAAUUAAUGACAGGACAGUUACAGUUAGACGAAACACAAGACCAAAAACGACCAAAUUAGUUUCCCCCUGAAGAAGACACUAACCCCGUGUCGAAACGUUGGGCAAGUAAUAAACAUCGUUUGCUAAUUUCGAGACUGCGUAGCCGUUUUUAAUGAUAGUUGAAACGAUACAGUCGAACCUCCACUAGAAUA